rnacentral:rRNA from 1 species
UGGGGAAUAUUGGACAAUGGGCGCAAGCCUGAUCCAGCCAUGCCGCGUGAGUGAUGAAGGCCCUAGGGCUGUAAAGCUCUUUUACCGGUGAAGAUAAUGACGGUAACCGGAGAAGAAGCCCCGGCUAACUUCGUGCCAGCAGCCGCGGUAAUACGAAGGGGGCUAGCGUUGUUCGGAGUUACUGGGCGUAAAGCGCACGUAGGCGGACUUUUAAGUCAGGGGUGAAAUCCCGGGGCUCAACCCCGGAAGUGACUUUGAUACUGGAAGUGUUGGGGAUGGUAGAGGUGCGGGGAAGUCCGGGUGUAGAGGUGAAAUUCGUAGAUAGUCGGAGGGACACCAGUGGCGAAGGGGGCUCACUGGACCAUUACUGACGCUGAGGUGCGAAAGCGUGGGGAGCAAACAGG